rnacentral:piRNA from 1 species
UGGGAAACUACCACUGUCUGCUCA